AGUGAACGCUGGCGGUAGGCCUAACACAUGCAAGUCGAACGGCGGCACAGUAAGAGCUUGCUCUUACGGGUGGCGAGUGGCGGACGGGUGAGGAAUACAUCGGAAUCUACUUUUUCGUGGGGGAUAACGUAGGGAAACUUACGCUAAUACCGCAUACGACCUACGGGUGAAAGCAGGGGAUCUUCGGACCUUGCGCGAUUGAAUGAGCCGAUGUCGGAUUAGCUAGUUGGCGGGGUAAAGGCCCACCAAGGCGACGAUCCGUAGCUGGUCUGAGAGGAUGAUCAGCCACACUGGAACUGAGACACGGUCCAGACUCCUACGGGAGGCAGCAGUGGGGAAUAUUGGACAAUGGGCGCAAGCCUGAUCCAGCCAUACCGCGUGGGUGAAGAAGGCCUUCGGGUUGUAAAGCCCUUUUGUUGGGAAAGAAAAGCAGCAGGUUAAUACCCCGCUGUUCUGACGGUACCCAAAGAAUAAGCACCGGCUAACUGCGU
rnacentral:rRNA from 1 species